rnacentral:rRNA from 1 species
GACGAACGCUGGCGGCGUGCUUAACACAUGCAAGUCGAACGGAGUGGCGAACGGGUGAGUAACACGUGGGUGACCUGCCCUGCACUUCGGGAUAAGCCUGGGAAACUGGGUCUAAUACCGGAUAGUGUGGGAUGGGCCCGCGGCCUAUCGGCUGGUGGGUGGGGUAAUAGCCUACCAGGGCGGCGACGGGUCGCCGGCCGGAGAGGGUGGACGGCCACAUAGGGACGGAGAGACGGCCCAGAGAGCUACGGGAGGGAGCAGUGGGGAAUAUUGCACAAUGGGCGGAAGGCUGAUGCAGCGGCGCCGCGUGGGGGAUGACGGCGUUAGGGUUGUAAACCACUUUCGAUAUCGAACGGGUAUGUGGCGAGGAAGCGCCGGCUAACUACGUGCCAGCAGCCGCGGUAAUUC